AAGCUGAAACUUAAAAGAAUUGACGGAAGGGCACCACCAGGAGUGGAGCCUGCGGCUUAAUUUGACUCAACACGGGAAAUCUCACCAGGCCCGGACACCGGAAGGAUUGACAGAUUGAGAGCUCUUUCUUGAUUCGGUGGGUGGUGGUGCAUGGCCGUUCUUAGUUGGUGGAGCGAUUUGUCUGGUUAAUUCCGAUAACGAACGAGACUCUGGCCUACUAAAUAGACGUCAAAUCUUUUAUAGGUUUGUCGUAUGCUUCUUAGAGGGACGGGCGGCGUUUACCCGCACGAGAAUGAGCAAUAACAGGUCUGUGAUGCCCUUAGAUGUUUUGGGCCGCACGCGCGCUACACUGAAGAAAUCAGCGUGUGUUCCUCAUCCGAAAGGAUUGGGUAACCCGUUGUACCUUCUUUUUGAUGGGGAUUGGGGAAUGCAAUUAUUCCCCAUGAACGAGGAAUUCCCAGUAGGCGCGAGUCAUUAGCUUGCGUCGAUUACGUCC
rnacentral:rRNA from 1 species